GACAGAAGUGGUUUAUGGAAACAAUUGUGGUUUUAUGAUUACUUUCCCAAUUUUUUUUUCAUUUAUGAAAUUGUUUUCUCUCUCUUCCCCCUCUCUCUCUCGUACGCUCUCCCUCUUUCUCAUCAUCCCACAGUUUCAUCUCUCUCAAUCCCCAUCUCAUCCUUCACCAUAACAUCUACACCACAACCUCCACCACCAUCUACGAAUCAAUCAAUCGUCAUGAGAGUGAGGGAGUGGCCGAGUGAGAGAAGAUUUACCGGCGGGAGAGAAGUUCUGGUGAGGAGGAGGAGUUCCGGCCGAGAGAGUUCUUGUGGCCGUUUGUGGUGACACGGCGGCGCUCGGCAACGGCGGCGACGAAGCUUCUUGCUCCUUCUUUCCUCUGGUUCGAUCUUAAUUUCUAUGCUCUAUUUAUUUUUUAUUUUUUUUCGUUGUUUUUUUUGUUGGUGAGGAUGGUUGAAGAUCGGAGGUGAUGGUGAUGUGUGGUGGUUAUGGUAGAUGGUGAUGUAUCUCCAAAUUCAUCUUCUAGAUUUCAUCUUUCUCAAUUUGUCAAUAUUCAUCUUUCUAUUACCUUUAGCAUUCUAUUUGUCAUUGUAAUUGCAUUUGUAUCAGAUGGUUUGAGUACAAUGCCGGACAAAGCAUCUGUCCUUUCUUCAAACACAUCCUUCAGCCAUGAAUUUCACGAACAUGGGGAUCAGAUAAUAAAGAAUUGCUUCAGAGGGAAGUUGGUUUUUGGUGGUUAUUCAGUUUCAGAUCAAAAUCACCGGAAAAGCCAGCGCGCCACCACCACAAAAGCUUUCUCUAUGCGACAGACAGGAGGGUUUAGAGCAAAAAGUAAAGAUUCUGGAAAGCAAUUUGAGUUCUUUUAGUGAGAAAGAGAAAAAAGAAGUAUCUGGAUUUGAAUAGAACAGUUUUUGGUGAAUGUGAAGAUGGCUAUUGUGCACUAUCAAAAUUUGUUAUCUUUCUCGCUUUCUUUUGGCAUACCUGGCAACGGGAAUGAAUGACAUGGAGCACACACAACAACGGUAGCAGCCUCCGAUGUAGAGGUUUGUGUAUCUCAUCUCAGCUCCAUAGAAUAUUUCUGGUUCUACUUUAGCUAGAUCUAUCCAUUUUGCUUAGAUAAAGGGUGGAUUUUGAUCUAGCUUGAAGGUUUUGAUCAUCUGUUAUAAGAGAGAGUUCCGACCGAGAGAGUUGCGGUGCUUGGCGAUGGAGGUGAUGAAGCCUUUUUCUCCUUCUUUCCUCCGGUUCGAUCCUUCAUUCGGAUGAUCAUCAACAAUCUAUUGAAGAAGAGAAGGCUUGAUUUGUGGUAUUUCUUUGAUGUUAAUACUCCCAAGAUGAAAAGAGAUCUCAUGAAGCAGCUUUGGCGAAGUGCAAGGGGUUAGAAGAACAAUUGCAAAGGUUAGACUUCCAUCCAAUAUCAUAAAGUUUGUAAGUACUGAAAUUACGCAUAUUCUGCAUGAUCCAUUCCUACUUGCAGGCAUGUUCACUACAUUAGUAUUCAUGUUGGUUUGAGUAAGAUAAUGUAGGAUUAAUAGUAGUAUCAGCCACUGGUUUAUAAUAUUGUUGGUAAACAUGGUUGAUUGGGGUGAUUAUCAUCAUAUGUCUAACUAAUCCAACAUUAGGGUUAACUUUUUGCAAAUGUUCGUGAACAAAUAACCACAUAUUCUAGAUUAGAUAGAUUCCACCCUUUUGUUUGUUUUAUCAUAUCAGUAGCACAGAUGUAGCAGUUUGAAUUUGAGUAUUCAGUUUACUGUGUUUUAUCAUGUCAGCAACACAGUUGCAGCAAUUUACAUUCAAAUUUGCCAGUUUACUUUUUUAUUACUGAAAUGCAUUCAAUUUGCUUUCAUAGUACUUAUAUUUCAAUUCGAAUUUUCAUGUUUGCUCUUCGAAUAAGUUCAAGCCAUUAGUGUUUUCCCAUUCCAAUGGCACAUUGCAUCAUUUUACAUUCAAGUUUUUCAAUUUUGUAUUGCUCAUAUUCCAAUUCAAUUUUUUCCUGUUUUCUCUUUGGUUAACCUUUUGAAAGUAUCAGUGUUUCAUCAUUCCAAUAACAUAAUAUCAAAAAUGUAAGCAUAGAUGAUUCUAAAUUCAUUUUCAACCUACAUGUGUUAAAUAGUAAGAAUCUAAAAAUGUAAACAUAGGUGAUUAUAAAUUCAUGUUCAACCUCCAUGUGGUAGCCUUUGAAAUGGAUCUGCAAUUUGUUAAUUUGAUUAUAAACAUUAGAUUGGAUGGCUUUGAACCCAUUAGUAGUCCUUCAUAUUUUCCAAACAUAAAAUUUGUAAUUAAGUGAUUAAUACUCAAUCAAAUCAUGCUCUCUGGUCUGAUCUCUACUAAAUUCCAAAUAAAACUAAUACACUCCACACUCUAUAGUGGUCCUUCACUCCUUCCUCUCCUCUCUAUUUGAAUAUUUUGAUGCAUGUGUACAUUUUCUUCCAUUAGACUCUUUCUUUGCAAUGAUAUCUCUUUUUGUCUUCUUAUUCAUUGUUUACUCCCAUCAACAAAAUUACUUCAACACUUCUUUUAAUUCCAACAUUAUUAUAUUUCUUAUAAUUUCAAUUUUUGCAUGAAAAUAUUAUUGGCAAAAAACAUGUAUAUUAUUGACAAAACAUGAAAUUUCACUAGCCAACUUACUAGCCAGCUUCAUGUAGCCAGCUUCAAUGAUGGAAAUGAUGUUUUCUUCAUUAACAAACUAAAUAGGUUGAUCAGGGUUGUUGAUUGAUGGGAAUGGCUAUUUGUUGAUGUUAAAUGGAUUAUAAACCUUGAACUUGAUAAAUUUCAUGUACAUCAACAUUUCACAACCUAGCUUUUAUAAUAGAUACAUCAAGUUAAUAUGCCACUUAGUUUACAUUAGAAAUUCUUGCAUUUACAACCUAUAGUUUUACAUUAAUAUUUUAAUAGUUCACUCAACUAUUCCUUGCACAAAUCUUCUAUAUUGUAUAGAUAUGAACCAUCGUUACAAAUUGCAUCCUGAUGUUCGUCCUUACGCAAUGAUGACCAGGACAGGAUAUAUGGAGUAUGAUCCCAUGAAGCCCCGAGGAAAGCUUCCAGAAAUCUAUGCACGUUCCAUUGGUCAAUACAUGUGAUACGGUUUUUUUGGAGGAUGUUAACAAGAAUCAGAUUCAAGUUGGUGUGCACAAAAAGAGUUCUUCAAAAAUUUAUUUUACUGAUGGCUGGUCAAUACAUAGGUGAUACGGUUUUUCUGGCCAGUGGCGUGAUAUUUGCAAAGUCCACCAUUUGGCUGAGGGUGUAACUGUGAGCUUUGGUGUCACUCAAGCAUCCAACAACAGGAUCAUAUACUUCAAGCUAUCCCCUUACAUUGGCAUACGAACUACUCUCAUUGCUCCUUCAACAUCCAGCAAGCGGAAGAAAUUUUAUGAGACUCAGCAUUUCUAUAUGCUCUAGGAUCCCUACUAUCUUGCUUUAGAACUAUCUUGCUUUUAUUUAUUUCUGAACCUAUGUUGUAAUAUCUCUGCCAAACUUGAUUUUCAUGCUUUUAGGCUUGGCCAUUUUGAGCUUGUGCUGUGCUUGCUCUAUUUUGCUUUAGAACUAUGUUGAUUUUCAUGCUUAAGAGCUUGGCCAUUUCGAACUUGUGUUGUAAUAUUUCUACAAGACUUUAUUUCCCUGCUUUUCAUAGUGCUUGCCCCAAUGCUUGCUCUUUUAUGAUUGA